UUUCCGUAGGUGAACCUGCGGAAGGAUCAUUAAAGAACGCCCCGUUUUUUGAAAUGGGUAAUUCUAAACCGUGUAUACAUACCUUUGUUGCUUUGGCAGGCCGCCCCUCAGGGCGUCGGCUCCGGCUGACUGCGCCUGCCAGAGGACCCAAACUCUUUUGUUUAGUGAUGUCUGAGUACUAUAUAAUAGUUAAAACUUUCAACAACGGAUCUUUUGGUUCUG
rnacentral:misc_RNA from 1 species